rnacentral:lncRNA from 1 species
AGGCGAUUCACAGUCAAUUUGCCAUGCUGUAAUGGAUGCUUUCCCAUUGUCCCGGGCACGCACGGAUUGGCUGGAGACUGUGGGAAACUGCGGCUCGCUCCGGACCCAGACUUUGUAAUGCGGCCGCUGGGUAUAAAUAGGGCAGAUCCCGCUGCUUUCCGCACUCUGAGCUGGGAGCAGCCCUCGGGAUAACGCUGCUCUGUCCCUGGACGUCUGUCCUAAGCCACGACAGCAUCCCAUGGCGCCGAGGGAAGGCAAGCUCGGCAACCCCGGGUGGGAUUUACAGCAGCUGGAGAUGUCUGGAGAAGGGAUUUCAGAGGGACCAGCCCAGCUCUGAGAGGGAAAAAGGAGAAAUCCUGGGAGGAAUGGCUGUGAGCGAGCUGGGAUAUGGGUGAGCCCAUUCCAGGAGCCCUCAGCAGGAUAAUCCUGAUGGGCUUCUCUGCAAUUCCCAUCCCUCCAUCCCAUGGAGAAGCUGAGCUGCCACUCCUGGAGGUCACAGGUGGCACUUGGGGACUCUGCCUCUUCCUCCACUUCCAGCACCGAAGCCUCGGGAGGCGCCAGCAUUUCCCAAUUCCGUGAUUUUUGGACUUUUCUCAUAUUCCAGAGGAGCCCUUGACUUGCUGUACAAGUCACCCUUGCUCCUCUCUCGAGUAGGGAAGAAUGUUUCCUCUUUUUUGAGCAGGUUAUUGCUCUCCUCCCCUUCUCCCCGAGGGACUGCAGCCAUCCCAUGGCGUGGAGAGAAAGUUGUUCUGAGGGAAUGAAUGUGAGCUGGAUCCUCCUGCUGGGAGGGCUUGGCUGUUCUCAACCUCUGUGAGGUUGUCCCUGUACCUCUGCUGGGAAAGCUGUAACCCUGGGAUGGCCAGAAUUCCCAAUUUUCCUCUUUCCUUUUCCUCCCAGGGAAUCCACGCCUGGAAUGUGUCUCACAGGACACAUUUGGGGAAUCUGGCCUUCCCACGGUACCACGAGGGGUUCUAUAAUAUUUAUAAUAUUUAUAAUCGAUAAUAUGUAUAAUCUAUAAUAUUUAUAGUGUGUACUGAGCAUGCUCUGAGGAUGGUUAAACCAUAUCCCAAAACUGUGUAGAGGAAAUUCCUCGGGAUGUCUUGCUCACGAGCCAGGGCUGUUUGUGAGGUUCAGGAUGCGUGUGUGCCUUUUGUAAAGGCAGGAGCUCGUUUUUGUGUCCUUAUAGGACUGGAAGUUACAGCUGUGCUGUCCAUUGUAAAAGAAAUAUUUAUUUAAGUCUUUCAAGAAAGGCAGGUGUAUAAAUUAUAUUUAAUUUUUGGUACCCUUUUGCCAGGGGAAAGUGGGAAUUUGUUACUGUCCUUGGAGGAUGUUAUGAUGUGUUCUGUGCAAGCUGCACCAAUGUAUGACCUGUGCCAGAGUUGUCUUGAACAUCAGAAGUUGUAGAAACUUUUAAAGGUCAAAAAUAAAUAAAAAUCUGCUUAAUCA